rnacentral:rRNA from 1 species
CAAUAGCGUAUAUUAAAGUUGUUGCGGUUAAAAAGCUCGUAGUUGGAUUUCUGUCGGAGGCCAUCAGUUAAUUGCGCAUUGGUAAGCCUUAGGCAUCCUCCUGGGGAACGUUUCCGCGCUUGAUUGCGUGGUACGGAAUCUAGGACUUUUACUUUGAGGAAAUUAGAGUGUUCACUGCAGGCAUACGCCUUGAAUACGUUAGCAUGGGUAAUAAAAUUGGGCUUUGGUUCUAUUUUGUCGGUUUCUAGAGCUGAGGUAAUGAUUAAUAGGGAUAGUUGGGGGCAUUCGUAUUUAACUGCCAGAGGUGAAAUUCCUGGAUUUGUUAAAGACGAAACUACUGCGAAAGCAUUUGCCAAGGAUGUUUUCAUUGGUCAAGAGCGAAAGUUAGGGGAUCGAAGAUGAUCAGAUACCA